rnacentral:ncRNA from 1 species
UUCCGGUUAUCCAUAAAAGGGAAUCAGGUGAAAAUCCUGAGCAGUGCCCGCUACUGUCAUCUCCUUUUUAGGAAGAACAAGGUAACCACUGUCAUAACAGCUGUAUGGAUUAUAGCAAUGAUGGGAAGGUGUUCUUUCAGGAGAGAGCCAGGAAACCUGCCAUGCCU